rnacentral:rRNA from 1 species
UACGUAGGUCCCGAGCGUUGUCCGGAUUUAUUGGGCGUAAAGCGAGCGCAGGUGGUUUAUUAAGUCUGGUGUAAAAGGCAGUGGCUCAACCACUGUAUGCAUUGGAAACUGGUAGACUUGAGUGCAGGAGAGGAAAGUGGAAUUCCAUGUGUAGCGGUGAAAUGCGUAGAUAUAUGGAGGAACACCGGUGGCGAAAGCGGCUCUCUGGCCUGUAACUGACACUGAGGCUCGAAAGCGUGGGGAGCAAACAGG